CGGCUUCUGAUGAGGUAGGACCUAUGUUGAUGCUGUCUCUCCUAAUUGUCGUUCUAGCGGCCAUAAAAUAUUGUUAGGCUCUUCAAGACUGCAAAUAAAAACUUAAGGAACAGAUACUAAUGAUUUUUGAAUGAAUUUCGAUCCGAGUUUUGAUUGGUAAAACUUGUUUUAAAACGAUUUUCCGACAAUCAUUCCCGUGUGUUUGGCCUGCUGCAGGAGGGAGAGAACUUUCACCGUUGCCUGUGUGUGUGUCGCCGUUUUCUGACCUGUGCCUCUCUGUUAUAGAUACAUCCAACCAUAUGUGCUGAUGCCGAACAAAUUGGCCUAUUUUAUAAAGAUGGACAACACACAUGUGUUGUCUGUCAUAAAAAAGGAGAGUAUGAAAACAUGACUGCCCACAUACAGUGUCACGAAACAGCAGCUGUUCGACAUGGAGGUUACAAAAUGUACAAGUGCCUUAGAGGCUGUAUAAAAAGUGCACACUACCAUUGCUGUUACUGUGGGCAUACAGCUCCAGAAAAGGCUUUCUUCUUAAACCAUGUGCAGACCUGCAGCCACAAUUUGUCAA